ACAUAGUUCACUAUGGCUGUGUGAACUCUCCUGGCUGGAGAAACAGGUCAAUUACUUGAACCAAUAGGAACUAGAGCUAGAGGCAUUGGAUUGGAGCUCCAAUGGCUCCUGGCUAGAGAAACGGGUCAGUUACUCAACCUGAUUGGAAUUGGAGAUAGGGGUGUCGAAUUAGAGCUCUGAUGGCUAGAGUGUGGUUGCCAACAUUAGGCGAAGAUUAGGGAGGUGGUGCAGCACUGGAAUCUCGCAGGAUUAUCUUUUGGGUCAAACUUGUCCUAUUGGGUUUUGAGGCCUAGGUGUGUUGACUGGACUCUCCAACGACAGAAAAGUGAAGAUUCGCGGAUUGCAAACAUCGGGGAGGGUGGAGAUGUCAGUCACAAUUUGCUUCUGACCCGAAUGAGUCUUUGGUUUCGACCAACCUCAAGUGACUAGAUGAGUAUCUCUUGACUUGCCACAAGUCGACGAGUCUUCAGGUGGG
rnacentral:misc_RNA from 1 species